rnacentral:rRNA from 1 species
AGAGAGAGACAUGCGCGCAUAUCAAUAAGCGGAGGAAAAGAAACUAACUAGGAUUCCCUUAGUAACGGCGAGUGGAGCGGGAAGAGCUCAAAUUUGAAAUCUUCAAGGUUUUACCUUGACGAAUUGUAGUUUAAAGAAGUGUUUUCUGUUGGAGUUUUGGUAAAAGUUCUUUGGAAUAGGACAUCAUAGAGGGUGAGAAUCCCGUAUUUGACCAUUAUUUCCAGCUUUGUGAUACACUUUCAAAGAGUCGGAUUGUUUGGGAAUGCAGUCCAAAAUGGGUGGUAAAUUUCAUCUAAAGCUAAAUAUUGGCGAGAGACCGAUAGCGAACAAGUACCGUGAGGGAAAGAUGAAAAGAACUUUGAAAAGAGAGUUAAACAGUACGUGAAAUUGUCAAAAGGGAAGCGUUUGACACCAGUGUUGUUUUCUCGAAAAUCAAUUAAAAAUGGCCGGAUUUUGUGUUGUAUUGACUUUAUCAGCUUUCUGCACUUUUUUCCUGUCUUUUUCUAAUGCACUUUUCGUUUAACAAGUCAACAUCAAUUUCUUUUGUUGUAAAAGGGUCAUUGGAAGGUGGCUUUCUUUUCGGAGAAAGUGUUUAUAGCCUUUGGCCUCUGCAAUCGGAGAGAUUGAGGUCUGCAGCGUAGAUCCUUCGGGGUUAGAUACAUUUGUGCUAAGCUAUAGCCUUUUCAUAGACAACAUUGUUGACUAUGAUCAGUCAUGUAGCUUACUCGCUUACUGCUAUUUUACCUACGCUUAGGAUGUUGACAGCAGUAUAGACUGU